rnacentral:misc_RNA from 1 species
GAAAUGCGAUAAGUAAUGUGAAUUGCAGAAUUCCGUGAAUCAUCGAAUCUUUGAACGCACAUUGCGCCCUCUGGUAUUCCGGGGGGCAUGCCUGUCCGAGCGUCAUUGCAAACCCUCAAGCUCGGCUUGUGUGAUGGGUCCCGCGUCCGCCUCCCGGGGCGGACGGGCCCGAAAUGCAGUGGCAGCGUCGCGGUGAUCCGCUAAGCCAGAGCGUAUGGGGACGCUACAGUCACACGCUCGCGGCGCGGACCGGCGCUGGCCGACCCCCCUAACCAUUCUACGGUUUGACCUCGGAUCAGGUAGGGAUACCCGCUGAACUUAAGC